GGCUGGCGUCGUAUAUUACACGGAGAUAAUUCGAUCGAGUUUUUACGUCUCGGCGGGAUACUCACAGCACGAGAACUGCACUCUCGUUAAUAUAUAUAUAGGUAAACAUAUGUGCAUUACGUUAUUAUUAUAUCGUCCGAGCAAAGACUUUCGAUUUCCGCCGUUCAAAGCCACGUUAAAUUUAUUGUGUACACAUACGCUAGGUAUGUUAUUGUACGACACACGCGCGCCGCCUAUAGCAAUUGUCGUUUCCCUCGUGUGUCCCUUUUCGUAGGUGCGUUUUAUUUAUCGAUUCUCUUCCGUCCGGACAAGUCAUUGUUUUCUUU